GUCACAUGAUUCACGACCUCCCAGGUAAACCAGACGGGAAUGCAUAUUUCAAAGUAAAAGGUAAUAUUUAGGAUCUAUAUAAUAUUUCCGAUAAAUUAUUUCGUUUGUUUAUUUUGUCAAUUCUUCCUAAUCAAAUAAUGACUUAAAUUGUUAUGUGAAAUGUGAAUAAUGAUUUAUUUAACUUUCGUUUUGGACUUGAACAUAAUCCAUAUUUAUCUUAAUUUAUGUUAUGUCCCAAUUCUAGGGCAAGUUAUUGUUUUCGUCCAUAAUAUCUUCAUUUUUACACGAAAUUUGUAUCUGUAUAGCAUCAUACCAAUCAUUUGAACUACAUUAUACACACGUUUACGAAAUCAUUCAAAUAGCAGGUUCAAGAAAUGGAACUUUGUCUUGUUUAUAUAUAUAUAUCAUUGAUUAAUAUCAGAACACAGGUAAAGUUUCCCAUAUAUUCACAAUAAAUGUGAACCCACAAAAAAACUCAAAAUCACGUAAAUAUGAUUAUUUUUUUAAAAAUUCUUUUGUACAAUUAUUUUUGUAAUUUUUUCAAAAAAAUAUAUCCGUUAGAAGUCAAGAACCAUAACUCUCUCUUUAUUGUGUACAAAUACAACAAAUACAUACACUAGUCAACAAAAGAAACGAUACAAGGCAAUGUAUUUUUCAUAAAUUAUGAAAUUGGAUACACUAUACCAAGGUAAAUUGGUCCAAUAUUUUAUUGUUAUUUUUUCUCUUCAAAACCUUGAUUUAGGGAAAAACGCUAACGAAUUUUGGAUUUUUUAUUAUUUCAAAAACAUAUUUUCAACAAAAAUUUCAAAAAUUAGAAAAAAUAGAAUUAACAUAUUUUCGAGUGAAACAUGGUCGUCCUAAAAUUGUGAUACGGAAUCAUUCAAUUAGCAGGUUCAGGGAAUUGACUCGGGAAUUGAACUUUAUCUUGUAUAUGUAUCAUUGAUUUAUAUCAAAACACAGGUAAAUGAUCCUACAUAUUUACACCAACUGUAAAACAAAAACACGUACAUAUAAUCAAUUAACUUAUUCUUUUGUUUCAAUUUUUUUAAUUGUUUUAACAUCUAAUAGCUUUAAAAAAAUGCAAAGAACAGUAACUCUCUAUCUUUAUUGUGUACUAAUACAACGAGUACACAUAUAUAUAUAUAUAUAUAUAUAAGCGUGAAUAAUAUACAAAUACAAAUACAAAUAUUUUUAUUGGUACAAACUCAUUAACAAUAAAUGGUUAAGACCUAUGGCAUUAUAUACAACCAUAAUAAUUGACAUGGUAGAAUGAAAGGUUCCAUGAUAACUUAUCAUGCUAAAUUAUGAAAAGUUACAAAAUGAUCGAUGUAUCAUAUAAGUUCACUAUUUCUUAUAUUUAGACACUCUGAUCUGAAAAAGGAAGACAGUCUAAGUAAUAAUGCUGAGCUAUUAUUGACCAAUAGAGAUAUUUUUUCAUCAACAGUAAUGUUACAUAAAAUAUAACAACUAAUUUUAUAACACUCAUUAGUGUGUUAAAGUUACAUUCUUAGGCACUUAAAUAACUUAAUUUAGUAACUGUAUCAAUUUAUUUACAAACUGAUCCACGCCUAGAUAGCUUGAAUGUUGAUUGUUGCUAUUUUUAGACAUUAUAUAUAUAUAGUAUCAAUACAGAUUGUAGUUUAUUCUCCUUUUUGUAAUAAAACAAAAACGAAAAUAAGAGAUUUUAAUGCAUAAAUAUAAUGCUCAAAUAAUUCAUUUAUCUAUUUGUCUACAUUACCAGGAUUUCAUCAUUAUAUUUAUUUAUAUUAGAUUAACAAUGCAUAUACAUAUAUUAUUAAACGCACUCUUUCAAUCAAAUGAUCGAUGAAAAUAGCUUUUUGUAUUAGACUAAAAUCAAGACACAAUACGCAAAAUAACUUUUGAAACCCAUCAAUACUGAACUUUAUAGCAAAUCUGAACUAAAUCUUUAAACGGAAUAUCUUAGGAAACUAGGUUUUUGAUUUUGGGAUGUAGGGUGGGCGGGGUUGCGGCCGCAAACAGUGUCCGUUUAAUAACAUGAAAACGAUUUUUUUUUUUGAAAUUUUGAAAUUUAUGUUGUUUCCUGUGACUAAUGAAGGUCAAGUUUAGUUUUCACCAUGUUAACUUUUCUCAUUGUUGAGUUACAGCCCUUUCCCAAAUUUUUUUUAUGAAUUACUCAACUUCUGUACAAAGGGAAAUAACUAAAAAAAAUCGAAAGAUAUUGUGUUAAUGUAAAUUCUUUGGUAAAUUGUUUGAAGAAUUUUGUGUUAGAUUUGUUUGUUAUUCUGAACAAAUUAAUUUUCUGAAUACUAUAUAAAUAACAACAAUUGAUGACGUGAACACCUUUGAUAAGAUAAUAAUAUAUUUAAGUUAAAGGAUAUAUUUGAUUACAUUACACUGUGUAGAUAAAGUUGUUGACGUGAUAGAUAAGUUGCAGAUCUAUAUUAGUUUGUGACAAAUGAAAUAUUUGAAACUAUUAAAUAUAAUGGAUAAUAAUAUGAAAAUUGAUAUACAUUGUGUAACAUUUUAUCUAACUUUAGAGAAAUACAUUUGCUUUAUUAUCUAAAAUUGAUUUCUGUUCAAGUGGAAAUAACUCAAAUUUAUUCCACGAGUUAGUAAUCAUAACAUAAGUUUUUGUCAAAAUUAAUUUUGUAAGUCAUGUGUGUAAUGAAGGUAUAUGGCAUAGUUAAUAUGUGAUAGUUUAUCUUGGUUUUGAAAGUUAAUGUUCAAUGUUUACAUGAUUCUGUUUGGGGUUCAGAUUUGCAAAUAUAAAUUUCAUUAUUUAUUAGAUAAUAAUCUAUCUAAAUAUCCAAUCACAAUCCAAAAUAUGAGCUGAAAUGUUGUGUCCAUACUUGCACAACUGGGUUAGACCUCUACAGGGAAAUCGAGUUUGCUGUCACUCGACAGACUCGUGUUAUAUAUAUUUCGAUAAUCUUUACUAAAACGUUUAACCACUGUGUCUAAACCACACCGACAAAAAAUGUUUGGACCCGAUGGCAUCUAAUAUCCGGCACGGUGACGGAACAUUUAUAGACAUAGAAAAUGUAGGUUUCUGUUUAUUUAUUUGCUAAUUUAUGAUAUCGAAAAAAUGUAUACAUAUAUAACUAUUUUCUAUUGUGAGGUGUACUAUUUUCUACAACAGUUCUAUAUUAAAGGAGAAAUAAGUAAAAAUGCAUAUCAAAAUGACGAAUUGAGUGAAUCUUGUCUCGAAUUUGGUUAAUAUCUCGUUGAAUUGGUCACAUUGUACAUUAAGAAAGGUAUGAAAAGAAAGAUAUUGACACAGAGAUUGCAAAACUAGCCACUUUGAGCACCUUGAAACUUGUAUUUCUGUGUUUGGAAUGAAAGAAAUGGGUCAUGUCAAAAUGAAAGAGGCCGGUUUGGUCAAUGUGUACAACCGGUUUUGUCCUAGAUUUCUCAAGGUAGAACCCGGUUUUGUCAAAGAAAACAAUGCAUAAUGUAUAACAAAAUUGAACUUCGGCGUUUUAAAGGAGUCUGGUGGCUCCUUGGAAAACGAUUUCUUUGAGAGGACAACUUAUUGAUUGUAAGAAUCUGUAAACACUUUAAUUCCUACUUAAACAUUUUUAUUGGAACUAUAAAAAAAAGAAAAAUGUUUGCCUUUCUAUCAAAAAAAUAUCUUAACUGCCAAAUUUAUAGAAAUGAAGGUUAUAACGCAAAUUGAUAUUUAAGUUCUCUAUACGUGUUUAUAUGAAACAUGUGAACUAAAGUGAUCAAAUUUGAAAUUACAGUUUACGGUCUUAACAAUUUAACACGCACAUUUGAUAUGUGAAUUUCUUGCACAACAGGAUGAUUAUAGUUAUAUGUAAUCCAAUCUAAUCGCGCAAAUGUAGAACAAAUUCGUGCUCGUUACUCCCCGCUAACAAGGGGCGUAAUCUUUCUUAUGGUCGUUUAAAACAAGGACUGUCUAUGCUAGAAAGUCUAGAAAGUCCCUGUUUAGAAUAGAUCUUCUUAAGGGUAAGUGUUUAUUAUAAGACAUGAUAGGAAGACAAAUGUAUUUGAGAUUUUACAUGUUUUAUGCUAAUACAAAAUCGUAAAAAAAAUAAAUUUGAUUUUUAAAGGCUUUCACAGGUGGGGUUUAAAAAUUCACAUUGAUAUUUUAGAAUCAUCGAAAUACGAGACCAAUGGAUGCAAAUUCAUGGUAGCUUGAACUAUUUUGUAUGAGGCUUCAUAUGUCAGAAGUGAGAAGGCCUGGCUGCAACAAACCUAGCACACAGAUCUUUUAUUUUACUAUGCUUCUAUCUGUCAUAUGACCAUUGCCCUUGACCUCAUUUUCAUAGUUUAGCGAUUUCCUAUCAAAAUAAAUAGCUGUGAAUGUCACACUGAUAAGGGAGCAACCAUUUAACUUCAAAGGGGAAAGGGGGUGGUUAAUGUUUUUUUUCGUUAGAACAUAAAUCACAAACAGAUUUAUUAAGUUUCUUCGACGCUAUCAAUCAGAUUCUUUCUUUAAUAUAAAACAUUAUUAGUUAAAGGGGAAAUCUGCUUGACCAGAAUAUUUUUUGUUCAUCAAAUUGUGGAUCGGAAUAAUUUUUUUUAGAGAAAAAAAACUAGCCACCUCCUGGAAGUUAAAUGGUCGUUCCCUAAUGGUUGAUAUCCAUGAUCAAGGUGAAUAUUUUGUGUUCAAUAUAAAGAAAAAAGUAGAUGUGAUAUGUUUGGCAAUGAGACAACUCUCCACAACAGACCAAAUAGCACAGAAAUCUACAGCUACACGUCACCACACGGGCUUUAAUAAUGAGCAAAACAUAUACCGCAUAUUCAGCAAUAACAGGCCCGGAAAUCACAAAUAUAAAACAAUUUAAACAAGAAAAACAAAUAUGUAACACAAGUCCGUAUCUCUAGUACCAUAAGUAAUAGGUCAACCGUGUUUGCUCAUAUGGCCACAGGACUAUUAUAUAACCAUGAACUUAUUUCAUUGGUUUAUUAGUUAAGGUUAAGUUUUUUAUUUUUGUCAUUGUAAUGUGUUCAUGUCCAUCUGAUAGGUUUCAUUACACCUUGACUUUUUUAUGGUUCCAUGAACAAUGUUAAGUUUAUGUGAUCCUUUUAUAACAGCGAAAGACCGUGAGGGCAUUCCGGUGUAUUGCAAUGUCCUAAAAUUCCAUGACGUUAUAUUCGUUUUGGGUUUUUAACCGAUCUAUAAACAUGAUGAAUACGUAGACAUCAUCAGAUGCAAGCUAACAUUCCUUAUCGCUUGUUAUAAAUUCAUUUCUUCAAUGAAUACUCAUCAAAAACUUUUUAAAGAAGAUAAAUUAAUAAUAUUAUUUUUUGUUUUGUUAUAUGUAUAUACAUAUAAAUAAAAAAAAAUCAUUAAUAUAUAUGCACACGCAUGCGGAAGAAUAUCUCAGGAACGUUUGCAAUCUCAAGGAACUAUAACUCUGCAUGGAUGAUAAAACAUUUUUUUGCGGCAAAAUACGAAUGCCUACUCAAAUCCAUUCUAUUAGAAAAAACGAAUAAUUACAGAGGAGUGACGUGUCCACCCUGCACUUGCACUGUACUAUUAAAAAUAUAGUAGAAUAAAUGAUAAAUAAAUGCAUGAAAAUUAUAUAUACUUGUAACUGUAAUAUACAAGUAUUAAUAUAUAUAACGGACAACAAACCAGAGUUUACUGAUUUGUAUCACUACAAUAUAAUAGUCAUUACGGUGAGAAUGAAUUCCCUGUCAUUAAUUUAUCAUCCAAGCACGAACUUGUUCCAGAUUUUUUUUUAUAUCCGUACAUUAACCCCACUUUCAGGUAUAGAGAUGUGAUUUUUUUCUGAGACAACUGCUUAAUGAAACCUCCACAAGAACGUGCAGUCGUCCUAUGUUCAGUACUUCAGUACUUUGAUUAAAUUAUAUAUCUUAAGUUACAGAUCUUCAAAAUAGAUUUAAUUACGAUAAUUCAAGCAGUCGCUUCAUGUCAGUGCGUACACUCUUGUAAAUAAUGCAUUGAAAGUAGAAUGAAUUUUUGUUGAAAAAACGCAAGUGAAAUUGUUUUACAAUAACAGUCAUAUUUAUGUUGCAUUUCGAUGGAUAAUGUUAAGAUCCGUGUUAGCGUUGCUUUUCAUAAAAUUUAUGGUUUCAAAACAAACAAAACCGGGUGAUAUUCAUAGACAAAACCGGGUGAUUGUGUAGUAAACAACAUUGACCAAACCGACCUCUUCCAUUUUCAUUUGACCUAUUUCUUUCCUUCCAUACACAGAAAUACAAGUAUCGAGGCGCUCAUAGUGUCUAGUUUUGCAAUCUACGUGUCAAUAUCUUUCUUUUCAUACCUUCCUUAACGUACAAUGUGAACAAUUUAACGAGAUAUUAAACAAAUUUGAGACAAGGUUCACUCAAUUUGUCAUUUUGACAUGCAUUUUUACUUAGUUCUCCGUUAAUAUUGAACUGUUGUAGAAAAUAUUACACCUCAUAAUAGAAAAUAGUUAUAUAUAAAAUUGAGAAUGGAAACGGGGAAUGUGCCAAAGAGACAACAACCCGACCAUAGAGCAGACAACAGCAGAAGGUCACCAACAGGUCUUCAAUGCAACGAAAAUUCCCGUACCCGGAGGCGUCCUUCAUCUGGCCCCUAAACAAGUAUAUACUAGUUCAGUGAUAAUGAACGCCAUACUAAACUCCAAAUUGUACACAAGAAACUCAAAGUUAAAAUAAUGUAUACAUGUUCUUCGAUAUCAUAAAAAUAGCAAAUAAAUAAACAAAAACCUACAUUUUCUAUUCUAUUAAUGUUCCGUCACCGUGCCGGAUAUUAGAUACAUUCGAGUCCAAAUAUUUUUUGUCGGUGUGGUUGAGACACAGUAUUAACACCCGAUUUUGAUCAAUUCUUUUUAUUUGACAACAAAUAUUUGACACUAUACUCUACACAAGAAUCUGUCAUUCAAAUUCAUUUUCAUUUGGAUUUCAAGAACUGUAGACUGAGAUAAAUGAUAAUUAUGCCGAUGGAUUGUUUAUUGAUAUUAAACCGCAUUUUCAGUGCUCAUUAUUAUAUUAUGAAACCUGUUUAAACUGAUGUAGAAAACCAGAGUGCCUGAGUCAAUACACUUCAACAGGAUAAAUUAAAUAAGCUACCAGGUUUUAUGUUAGGGGGUUGAUGAAGGUGCUGUUGUUUUAAACUUUUUAAUCCGCUAUUGUUAUUUGCAGUGUGUGUGAAAUGGCAGCAGCUUCUAUGAGCUGUGGUGUUUGUGAACUCCGUCACAUCACCAAACCAUCCAUAGUCUGGUGUUCAGAAUGUGACGAGGGACUAUGUGCAGAAUGCCAGGAGCAUCACAGUUUGUCAAAAGGAACCAGAAACCAUAAAGUGAUUACAAUUACUGAAUACACGAAAUUACCAGCUGAUGUACUAAUGAUUAGUCAAAACUGUAGUAAACACGUUAAAAAGUAUCAAUUUUAUUGCCAGAAGCAUGAAUGCCCCUGCUGCAGCAAAUGUAUCGUGGAAAUCCAUAAAGAAUGCCAAGAUUUCGUCGAAUUAGAUGACGUCAUUCACAAUGUCAAAACCUCCAAUGACGUUUGCGAAAUAGAGGAAACAUUAUUUGAAGUUGCAGAAAAUCUACAGAAGAUUCGACAGCAUCAACAGGACAACCUGACGACAUUAGAAGAAAGUAGAAAGGAAAUAGAAAAAGAAAUAAAGAUGACCAGAAUAAAGAUCAACAACCAUCUUGACAAACUACAAGAGGAUUUAAUUAAACAACUGUAUGCAGUAGAAGAAAAAGAAAAGUCGAAAAUUGGUCAGUUAUUGUCAUCAUUAGAAAAUAAUGAAAAGGAAAUAGCAGAAUGCAAGAGAAAUAUUAUGAAUAUUAAACAACAUGCAACAGACCUUCAAGUCUUUCUUUCAAUAAAGCAAAUAGAAGGGUACGUCUAUAGCAAAAAUAAAUUCUCUCAGUCGCUUGAAGAAGACAAGAUUUUCACCAAAACUUCUCUUUCAUAUAAGAUCAACACCUCUAUCCAAAAUAUCAUGUCCGAUAUCAUAAGUUUUGGAGAUGUGCGUAUUGAAGCUAAAUCUUGCGAUAUAGUUAUUACUAGGAAAAAGGAUAAACAAGCUCAAAGGAUGGUACCGACCGUUCAAUCAAGAGCCAUUGAAAAUAUAAAGUUUACGAAACAAAAGACCAUCAACACUCAAGGAGAAUUAAUUUACGGAUGUUGCAUGUUGCCGGAUGGUAGAAUAGCAUUUACUUACAACUCGGAUUGUAAGGUAAUUGUGUUUAACAUGAAAGGAUUGAAAGACUUUGAGGUGAAGAUGCCGGUUUACCCGUUUGAUUUAGUGUUUAUCAGUGAGGACAAUACAUUGGCUGUCACAUCUGGUUAUUCACAGAUAGAAGUGUAUUACUAUUAUCGACUUGGAGAAGAAACAAAUCAAGAAAAUAAUUUCACUGGAUUCGGAAUAGUUUUGGCAUUGCAUUGAAAGAUAACCGAUUGAUUUAUUCCGGUUACGACAAAGGUAUACGAAUGAUCAAUCUAGACGACGAGUCUAUACGUGACAUAGUCCGAGACAUAAUGCCAACACAAUGUUGCAUUGCAACAUUUAAGAACAGUAUAUAUCAUACAAACAAUGAAACACACACUGUAACAUGUUAUAAUCGACAAGGAGAAAUACAAUGGAAUUUCCGUAACGUAACCGUUCUUAAAUCUCCUCGAGGUAUUGAUGUAGAUAAUGAUGGUAAUGUGUUUGUGACAGGGAGCACUUCAAACAACGUUGUUGUUAUCUCUCCUGAUGGACAACGACAUAGAGAAGUAUUGACAGCAAGUUAUGGCCUUGAAGAUCCUGCCUCGCUUCAUUAUAGUGGAUCAAAGAACCAGCUGCUUAUCGCGAACUUCAAUUACAAUGCUCAUUUGUUUGAUGUUAUUUAAACAAAUUCAAAGUUAAAACUUCUUAAACUUUAGGUCAUUCUGAGCAGUGAUUAAAAUAUCUAGAAUUUUGAAAC
rnacentral:lncRNA from 1 species